ACUUUGGUAAAUGGUUCCUCCAGUCAAGUCUGCAUUAUAUUUCAACCUAUUAUAGUCAUAACAUAAGAGGAGGACUGCUCUGUUAAUGGUGGUGAUGGGCUAAGAUUUGGACACAGAGAUGUCCCCAUGGAAAAUGUCACAUGAAGAUGAAGGCAGAUAAUGCGGUGAAGUUUCUACAAGCCAAGGAAUACCAGAGAUUGGCAGCAUUCCACAGCAAGCCAGCCUCUCAAGAAGAAGACUCUAAAAGAAUAGAUCAUUAUAAAGGAAAUGGAAUCCAAGUACAUUAAUAAAAUAUUGUAAAACCUUAAUCAUUAGUCUACGCAUGAUAUUUUAACUUCUUUGACAGUGAAGCACUCUUUAUUGUAAAAAAAAAAAGUGGUUCUAUUUCAUGUCUGCCAAAUAAUCCCAGAAAUAAAAAUAAAGUUUAAUAUUUCA
rnacentral:lncRNA from 13 species